rnacentral:sRNA from 1 species
AUUUGUAGCUUCUGAAGAAGGCAGAGAAGCGGGUCAGAAAGGGUGGCUGCUGCAACGUGCAAGCUGCGGAAUUUAUCCACUGCAAUACAGUGCAAACUCUGAAUUCCAAUGCCAGGUUAGACCUGCUAUUUUCUCUCUCUCUCUUUCCUGACCCACAGAAACUGGGUUUAAUGCAACUGUUCAUGCACAAAUGAGAAAUGCGCACUCAAUUCCAAAUUUGUGCUUUUAAUACUUGUUUGUUGUUUCAAAAGUGUACAUUUUUUGUUCAAAAAUACCUGUUUCAGUCUGAAUAAAAGGUUGCAGUUCUUGC